rnacentral:hammerhead_ribozyme from 1 species
AUCCAGUUGAUGAAUCCCAAAUAGGACGAAAUGAAGUGCAUUCUGGAU